rnacentral:rRNA from 1 species
GACGAACGCUGGCGGCGUGCCUAACACAUGCAAGUCGAGCGGGGAUAAGAGCUUCGGUUCUUAUUCUAGCGGCGGACGGGUGAGUAACGCGUGAACAAUCUGUCCCAGACAGGGGGAUAACAUCCGGAAACGGGUGCUAAUACCGCAUAGUUUCUUUUUCCGCCUGGAAGAAGAAGGAAAGAUGGCCUUUGCGCUAUCACUGAGGGAUGGACCCGCGGCGUAUUAGUUAGUUGGUGGGGUAAUGGCCUACCAAGACGAUGAUACGUAGCCGACCUGAGAGGGUGAUCGGCCACAUUGGGACUGAGACACGGCCCAA